rnacentral:rRNA from 1 species
GAUGAACGCUAGCGGCAGGCUUAACACAUGCAAGUCGAGGGGUAACAGGGUGCUUGCACCGCUGACGACCGGCGCACGGGUGCGUAACGCGUAUACAAUCUACCUUUUACAGAGGGAUAGCCCAGAGAAAUUUGGAUUAAUACCUCAUAGUAUUAUAAAAUGGCAUCAUUUAAUAAUUAAAACUUCGGUGGUGAAAGAUGAGUAUGCGUUCUAUUAGCUAGUAGGUAAGGUAACGGCUUACCUAGGCAACGAUAGAUAGGGGUCCUGAGAGGGAGAUCCCCCACACUGGUACUGAGACACGGACCAGACUCCUACGGGAGGCAGCAGUGAGGAAUAUUGGACAAUGGUCGAAAGACUGAUCCAGCCAUGCCGCGUGCAGGAAGACGGUCCUAUGGAUUGUAAACUGCUUUUAUACAGGAAGAAACACUCCCUCGUGAGGGAGCU